AAUCCUGGUCUCAUCCCUUCUGGAUUGAACCCUGCUGUGAUGCGAGACAGCGCAAUGCUGGCGGCGCGGGAGGCGAAUAAGCGGCCGCGCGCAGCGCCGACGACGACCCUCCCCAUUGCCUUCUCACUGAUCCCUACAACACCAAUUAUAGUUGGGGAAGGUGAACCUCCCUCUUGGGAUCCGGUACCAACUCUAAAAGUUCUACAAUGAGUAUGUCAUUACGAGAUCAUAUUAGAAAGAGGAGGGAAGAAGAAGAUGAUGACAUGAUGUUGUUUAUUUUCCCUGCCUUAUAUCUGAUGGGUUCAACUAGAAGUGGGGGACAAAAGAAGAAACGCCAUACAUCAGAUGAGACAACUCCGUAUGUGUAUUGUCAAGUAUUGGGAAGACAACUCCGUAGGUGUGACCAUUGUUAUUACUGUAUUUGCUUAUGUAGCUGAUUACUUAUAUAUCUGUUUCUUGGCGAGUAUGCGUGAACAAUUGCAAGUCUUUUUGUUAUUACUGUAUGUAUUAAAUUGAUUUGAACAGAUUGAGUGCAUCCUGAUUGUGUA